CAGGCUUCAGGAAAGAAGAAGAGAAUUUUCUGACCCAAGAGGCCUACCUGGCCCUCUGCUACAGUAAAGCACAACAAACUGGGGGGAAGAGGCUUGGUUUGUUUGCCAGGCUUCAUUUGACCAAGCGAUGAUGGAGGUUUCUCUGGUGGUCACCAAAUGGGAGGAAGGCAGGCAGAUGCAAAAAACAAAAAACAAAAAACCCGGCACACUAAUUGUCCUGGUGUUCACCGCGACCUCUCUUCCCCCUGUCACGGAGCAUCAGACAGGUAUCCCAAAGGAAAAACCGGAUGUUUGACAUUGGGUCUGGAAUCUUAUCUGCCCUGUCUUGUUCUCAACAUUAAUCGGCACCAUAAAACUCUGCCAGUUGGGCCCUGUGCGUCUCAGAAUUGGUCAUCAUUCUUACUCGAACGAGGCAGAAGUUUACCUUAUCUUAGAGAACAAAAGGUCAGGGAUGAAAUGACCUCAGAAAAUUAGCCAGAUACAAAAAUACAACUGGAAUGUUUAGUCUCUUUUAGAAAAUACUGUUUUCGAGUGCCUUAAGAGCCAUUUCAUUUCAUUUCAUUUCAUUUCAUUCAGAGCCAUUAAUGAGCUAAUUAUCUUUUUACUAAAGGAGACCCGUAGGACUUCAACUUAGCAAUACUUAGUUGGUCAUCAGUUUGGGUGAUUAUAUGUAACAAAGUUGUGUUGUUUUUCAAGCUGUUCUGUCAUUCAGAUUCUUC
rnacentral:lncRNA from 1 species